rnacentral:rRNA from 1 species
CCUACGGGAGGCUGCAGUGGGGAAUAUUGGACAAUGGGGGGAACCCUGAUCCAGCGACGCCGCGUGAGUGAAGAAGUAUUUCGGUAUGUAAAGCUCUAUCAGCAGGGAAGAAAGAAAUGACGGUACCUGACUAAGAAGCCCCGGCUAACUACGUGCCAGCAGCCGCGGUAAUACGUAGGGGGCAAGCGUUAUCCGGAUUUACUGGGUGGAAAGGGAGCGUAGACGGCGAUGCAAGUCUGAAGUGAAAGGCGGGGGCCCAACCCCCGGACUGCUUUGGAAAGUGUAUGGCUGGAGUGCAGGGGAGGUAAGUGGAAUUCCUAGUGUAGCGGUGAAAUGCGUAGAUAUUAGGAGGAACACCAGUGGCGAAGGCGGCUUACUGGACUGUAACUGACGUUGAGGCUCGAAAGCGUGGGGAGCAAACAGGAUUAGAUACCCUUGUAGUC